rnacentral:rRNA from 1 species
AGUAAUGCAUAGGAAUCUGCCCAUGUAGUGGGGGGACAACCUGGGGAAACUCAGGCUAAUACCGCAUGAGCCCUUCGGGGGAAAGCAGGGGAUCUUCGGACCUUACGCUAUUGGAUGAGCCUAUGCCUGAUUAGCUUGUUGGUGGGGUAACGGCCUACCGAGGCGACGAUCAGUAGCUGGUCUGAGAGGACGAUCAGCCACACUGGGACUGAGACACGGCCCAG